rnacentral:rRNA from 1 species
GACGAACGCUGGCGGCGUGCUUAACACAUGCAAGUCGAACGGUGACGACCGAACUUGCUCGGUCUGAUUAGUGGCGGACGGGUGAGUAACAGGUGAGCAACCUGCCCUUCACUCUGGGAUAACCUCAGGAAGUCGGGGCUAAUACCAGAUAUGAUCUGCUGUCGCAUGGCGGGCGGUGGAAAGUUUUUCGGUGCAGGAUGGGCUCGGGGGCUAUCGGUUUGUUGGUGAGGUAGGGUCUCGCCAAGGCGAGGACGGGUAGCCGGCCUGGGAGGGCGACCGGCCACACUGGGAUUGAGACACGGCCAAGACGCAAACGGGAGGCAGCAGCGGGGAAUAUUGCACACUGGGCCAAGGCCGGAUGGAGCGACGCCGGGUGAGGGAGGACGUCUUUCGGGUUGGAAACCUAUUUCAGCAGGACAGAAGCGAACGUGCCGGUACCUGAAGAAGAAGCGCCGCCUAACUACGU